AAGGGGUCCGUAAAACGGUAAAUUAAGCGAAAAUAUAAUAAUUUAAUCGAACUGAUUUACUAGAGUCUUAUAGAGGAACAGAGGAAUUGCAAGAGUAAGGAUGAAAUCUAUUGAUACUUGUAGGACCGCCAAAGGCGAAGGCAUCGUUCCAGGUAAAGACUGACGUUGAGGGACGUAGGCGUUGGGAGCGAAAAGGAUUAGAUACCCCUGUAGUCAACGCUGUAAACGAUGAGUGCUUAAGAUUAGUAAUAAUCUUAUCUUAUUCUGUCGACAGAUAGAAUAAGAUAAGAUAAAAAUAAAAAAUUAGUCUCGAAAUGAAGAUGUUAAGCACUUCACCUGGGGAGUACUGUCGCAAGGCUGAAACCCAAAACAUUAGACGGUCAUGGAAACCAGCAGUGAAGCAUGUUAUUUAAUACGAUGAUCCGCGUACAACCUUACCACUUCUUGAAUGUCCUUUCUCUUAAAAAGGAAAGGCCUAUUUAAUUUGGAUAAAUACAACAGGCGUUGCAUGGCUGUCUUCAGUUCGUGUCGUGAGAUGUCAGGUUCAUUCCAAUAAACGAAUGAAACCCUUUUUUCUUAAUUUUUAAUUUCUUUUAAGUUUCUUAAUUGAAUUCAUUAAGAUGACCCUUGGAAAACGAGGAUAUAAUGGGGAUUAAGACAAGUCGUCAUGGCCUUUAUGAAGUGGGCUAUAGACGUGCCACAAGAGCUUUUACAAUGGGAUGCUAAGACGUGAGUCAGCGCUAAACCUUAAAAAAAGCUAUGUUCGGAUUGUAGUCUGCAACUCGACUACAUGAAGUAGGAAUUGCUAGUAAUCGUAA
rnacentral:rRNA from 1 species